AUAUGGGAGUUUCCCUGCUGUGUUUACCCUGCCAACGUUCCCCAAAGAUAUCCAGACCAAACUGGACGCAAAACAACCAUGCCAUAAAGUGUCCACUGAUGGACACAAAAUCGUGAGGAUAUUGCAUGAGACGAUGGCACAAUACACAAUGUAUCCGACGAAUUCUGAAUAUAUUAAAGUGGCCAAAGCAUUGAUUUUCAGGUAUCCUUCCCUGAAGGAUAUGGAGGGGAAUGGAUAUCACACCUGGCAUAUGUCUUUUAAAACGGCGGUUCAAAGCUGAAAGGAUGCCCCUGGUCCACCACGAGGUAGUUCGAAACAUGAAGCAAAAGUUUGGGCAUCAUAGAUCUCCCCAAGCACCAGAAAAUAACCAGGGAAGCAU